rnacentral:lncRNA from 1 species
CCGGGCAAGUCCUAAGCCCAACCGCCUGAUCUCAGGAAAUUCCUCACUUAGCAACAGCUAACCACCCUGCCCACCCCACUUCACAACAAGCCCAGAUCUCUCCCACCCGGACCUAAACUUACCCAGUCUGUAAGCGGGGGCGGGCUCUGGCCUUAGUUGGUGUCCCCCUCCGCGGGUGUUUGUUCGGUAAACCUGUGUUGCUGUAGAGCCGCCUCCGUCCGUUUUUCCUCCCGUUCCUGCGCUAACAAUGACAUUAUACCAAAUGUAACUGAUAUACUAAUACAUGCUGCUGUAAUAAGGAGUCCUCAUUUAAGUUACUGUGUCCAAAAUGAGUUUCCAGUGGUCCUCCAUCUUGAUACAUGCUCCAGUAUCACUUAUACAGAAAGGGUGGACAUGCUGGCCUAUCUAACAAAGAGAUUGCAGUGCAGAUGAGAAUGCAGCACUACUGAAGCUGGAUCGUAGAAUGCUUGUGGCUUCUUGCCUCCAUUACUUGGAAUUUCCAGUUCUGGGAAACAAACAGAAACACAACUACCAUGUUCUGAGAAGCUCAAGCCACAUGGAAAAAUUACGCACAGGGUCUCCAGGUGACAACUGCAGCUGAGCAGGCAUUUGAAAGCCAGCAUCAGCCAGGUUCCUUAAUUAAAGAUAACGUUUAAUCUGUUACCAAAGUCAUAUAUGACUUUUUGAACAGUUCUGUCAGUGGCACCUACAAGACAUACUUAACAUUAAAUAGAACGACAAGAUAAUCAAUUACAAGGUCUUGGAAACAAACCAACACACAAACCCAGAGGUGAUUUUACAAAUACACCUGUAGCAAGCUGGACAAAUGCCAGAGUUAAAUAACAACAGAAUAGUUAAGGAAACGCUUUGAAUGGAGGGAACCAGGAAGAAGAACUUGAUAACAGGACCUUGCAUAAUUAAUCGAUUGAUCACUGAACUUCAUUGUCAUAUUUCUACGGUCAAAUUUUGGGAGAAAGCUGUCGCAAAUUCAUCAGAGUGUAGCAAUGCCCGAGUUGUAACUGAGUUCCAUCUGGAUAAAACCAAGAUAGAAAUUGUGCCUCAUAAUUGAUAUUUUGAGGAUUCCAUGAAGUAAUAAAUUUAUUAUGUGCUAAGAAAUAUGUGCCUGUCCCUAGGUAGCAAACUGCAACUUAACUUCAUAUGAAAACAAUCUACAACUGUAACAUAUUCUGUAACAAAUAACUGAGACUCAGUUAAUUAUAGCAGCUGGGCUUUAACCAGUCAUGGGAUGACAACUGAUCAGACCAUGUAUCUGUAUAAGGCAAGUGCUUCAUCACACCGUGGCUGAAUCAGACAAGAGACACACCUCUUAUUACAGAA